rnacentral:rRNA from 1 species
CGGGUGAGUAAUGCGUGACCAACCUGCCCCAUGCUCCAGAAUAGCUCUUGGAAACGGGUGGUAAUGCUGGAUGCUCCAACUUGACGCAUGUCUUGUUGGGAAAGUGUUUAGUGGCAUGGGAUGGGGUCGCGUCCUAUCAGCUUGUAGGCGGGGUAAUGGCCCACCUAGGCUUCGACGGGUAGCCGGCCUGAGAGGGCGGACGGCCACAUUGGGACUGAGAUACGGCCCAGACUCCUACGGGAGGCAGCAGCG